rnacentral:rRNA from 1 species
AUGCAGCUCCGAUUCCCAGCAGCCAAUGGCCUCCGAAUCCGUCGCAUCUCCGCAUCACAAGACGCUCGCUGGAGAGCAGUCCAUAUCCAUCGCCACAAGAUCCAUCACCAGGAGCAGCCUUGUGGACCAGCCAGCGCCCCUCCAGAUCUGCAUCGUGCCCGCAGCCUACCAAGAGCCCUCCAGGCCGUAUCCGUUGGAGAGCAGCAUGCCCUCCCACCGCCGCCGCAUACGCCGGCGGCAACGGCAGCAAGAAGCGACGAGAAGAAGGGCUCCUGGAGAAAGGGAUUUGGGCGCCCCGGUGCCGCCCGUUGGGCGCGACAUGGGAGCGAGGGCUCUGUUCCUUUUUCCUUUAUAGAGCUGUUAUGGCUAGUUUUUUCCUAA